GACGAACGCUGGCGGCGUGCUUAACACAUGCAAGUCGAACGAAGUGGCGAACGGGUGAGUAACGCGUAAUCAACCUGCCCUUCAGAGGGGGACAACAGUUGGAAACGACUGCUAAUCCCGCAUACUGAAGGAGGUGAUUUCGUGUGAUUCGCUGGGUGGAGGGGUAACGGCCCACCAAGGCGAUGAUCCGUAGCCGGUCGGAGAGGAUGAACGGGCAAAAUGGGACUGGGAAACGGCCCCGACGCCUACGGGAGGCAGCAGGGGGGAAUCUUCCGAAAUGGACGAAAGUCUGACGGAACAAAGCCGCGGGGGUGAUGAAGGCCUUCGGGUUGUAAAGCUCUGUUAAUCGGGACGCGGUACCGGAAUAGAAAGCCACGGCUAACUACGUGCCAGCAGCCGCGGUAAUUC
rnacentral:rRNA from 1 species